GACGAACGCUGGCGGCGUGCUUAACACAUGCAAGUCGAACGGAAAGGCCCUGCUUUUGUGGGGUGCUCGAGUGGCGAACGGGUGAGUAACACGUGAGUAACCUGCCCUUGACUUUGGGAUAACUUCAGGAAACUGGGGCUAAUACCGGAUAGGAGCUCCUGCUGCAUGGUGGGGGUUGGAAAGUUUCGGCGGUUGGGGAUGGACUCGCGGCUUAUCAGCUUGUUGGUGGGGUAGUGGCUUACCAAGGCUUUGACGGGUAGCCGGCCUGAGAGGGUGACCGGCCAAAAGGGGAAGAGGAAACGGCCGAGCAUACUACGGGGGGAGGGAGUGGGGAAUAUUACAGAAGGGGGGGAAAAAGGAUGCAGAAGCGCCGCGGGGGGGAUGACGGCCUUGGGGGUGUAAACCGCUUUGCCAGGUAACGAAGGGGGGAGGAGGGAAAUGGGUAAGGAAACACGGGAAAAAUAGGU
rnacentral:rRNA from 1 species